UCGGGAAUUUUGGGCAAUGGGCGAAAGCCUGACCCAGCAACGCCGCGUGAAGGAUGAAGUAUUUCGGUAUGUAAACUUCGUAAGAAUAGGAAGAAUAAAUGACGGUACUAUUUGUAAGGUCCGGCUAACUACGUGCCAGCAGCCGCGGUAAUACGUAGGGACCAAGCGUUGUUCGGAUUUACUGGGCGUAAAGGGCGCGUAGGCGGUGUGUCAAGUCAGUUGUGAAAUCUCCGAGCUUAACUCGGAACGGUCAACUGAUACUGUCACACUAGAGUACAGAAGGGGCAAUCGGAAUUCUUGGUGUAGCGGUGAAAUGCGUAGAUAUCAAGAGGAACACCUGAGGCGAAGGCGGGUUGCUGGGCUGAUACUGACGCUGAGGCGCGAAAGCUAGGGUAGCAAACGGGAUUAGAUACCCCAGUAGUCCCUGA
rnacentral:rRNA from 1 species